rnacentral:lncRNA from 1 species
GUAGCUGUCGAGAUGUGAGGAUCUAAUGGCUUCGGCGGGAGGGAAGGAUUGGAGAGAAGGAGAGAGAACAAUCAUGACCAUAGCGGCUGAGAAAAAUCCAGACAAUCUCAUAAUCCACAGCAUCUUCACGUGGUAAAUCCCUCUCCUCUUCUUUUUCUUUGAUUUGAAAUCGAUUCGAUCUGCUAUAAUCGAGGAUAAUCUUAGAAACGCUUCGGUCCCCUUUAGGUCCGCCAGAGUUUAACCAAAAAUAAUAAAAAUUUAAUUAAUCUAUAAAAAGGAAAAGUGUUUUCACGAAUCGAUCUUUUACUGGGAAUCAAAGUAUAAUUGCCGUGGGAACGAAGCGACUUUGGAGGAGAGAGAAAGAAGAAGAAUCCAUGUAACCGAGCCAGGCCGCAAAAUCAGGGCCCGGUGAUACCCCGUACACCGCCGUAUAGGCGUCCCAGUCUCUCUCCCCUGCUUACACUCUCUUAUCUCUCUCAGUUUUAAGUUUGUUCGCGUGGGGAGGUGAGAGUAGCGGAACAAAUAAUACGACACAAGUGGAUACUUGAGAGAGAGAGAGAGAGAGAGUGUGUGUGACCCCCUUUCUUUUCUCUAUUUUUUUCCUAGCUUUGCGUUUUCCACCAUAGAAAUCCACGGCCAAACAUGAAAUUAAAAUUUUUAUGGAUAAAUUCAGUAGCGGGAUAAUUUUAUUUAUAAAGUUUAAUUGGGAAAAUAAACAAAUAAAAAGAUUUUCCUCUUUUUAGUAUCCUUAUAUUCUACAGUUGGUAGCAAUAAUACAAUACUAAAAAUAUACACAGAUUAUGUUAAUAACACGAACACGAAUUGACAAGAGCUUUGUCGAAUAGAAAGAACCAGCUGUCCUUGUCUUUUAUCACAAUGACGAUUGCGUCCCCGCUCCAGGGCGCACAUUUUGUACACACGGUACUUGGAUACCUGAACACCUCAUUUUAACCAUUUGUUUGAGUAAAUUUCGGGUUAUUCUCUUUAUGAAAUAAUAAAUUUUAAAAGUUUUAACUUAAAAUUAAAAAAAUAAAGAUAAAUUGAUGUAAUUUUUUAUUUUUUAAUAAAAGUAGAGGUAAAUUAAUAUUUAUAAUCAUUUAAAUAAGUGUCAUGACACGGCUACAAAUUUUUAUACAAAUUUAUUUUGUACAAAUUGAUGUGGCAUCAAUUCAUUGAUUAAAUGAAAAUAUAAAAUAAUAAAAAUAAAUUAUAUGGGUCAAGAAAUAUUUAAUUUAAUUAAUUAUAUUAUGUCACAUUAAUUUGUAUAAAAUAAAUUUAUAUAAAAAUUUAUGACUAUGUCAUUAUUCUUUAAAUAAUAUUUUAAAUAUUAUCAUUUGAUGUGAAAUAAAAUUCUCUGAAAUUAACCCAUUUUGUUUACCGUUUAUUAACUGGAUCAAAGAUUCAACUGAGGCUGAGCCCACUCGUCUUCGGAUUGUUGUCUUGGCAACGGCUCACUUUUAUUUUACAAAAAGUGGGUAAUGGAUCACCAUCAUAUUAGCUUAGCAUCAGGGGUUUUGGGUUAGGCCAGUUCGUAAUUAUGCGUCACCUAAAAGAAGUGAUCAUGCGUAGACGGUCGACUUCUUGUGAACUGGUUUUGCUUUUAAGGCAAAAGAUGAUUUACUCAAAGCAAGUAUAUAACAUUCAAUGUCCUUUUGCUGCCCUUUCUUUUUCUUUUGGUACUUUUUGUUUCUCAAUUCUAAUUUUGAUUUGAUUAAGAUGAUUGAUGGUUAAUAUAAUGAAGGAUGAUUACUGCAUAAUACAUAUUAUAGCGUAAUAAAUUAUACCUUUUUU